rnacentral:rRNA from 1 species
UACAGAGGAUGCAAGCGUUGUCCGGAAUUAUUGGGCGUAAAGGGUGUGUAGGUGGCGCCGUAAGUCGGGUGUGAAAUUUCGGAGCUUAACUCCGAAACUGCAUUCGACACUGCGGUGCUUGAGGACUGGAGAGGAGACUGGAAUUCAUGGUGUAGCAGUGAAAUGCGUAGAGAUCAUGAGGAAGACCAGUGGCGAAGGCGGGUCUCUGGACAGUUCCUGACACUGAGACACGAAGGCCAGGGGAGCAAACGGG